GGAGAAUUGGCUGAACCUGGGAGGCGGAGGUUGCAGUGAGCCGAGAUUGCGCCACUGCACUCCAGCCUGGGAGAUGGAGCGAGACUCCAUCUCAAAAAGAAAGGAAGGAGGGAAGGAAGGAAGGAAGGAAGGAAGGAAGGAAGGAAGGAAGGAAGGAAGGAAGGAAGGAAGGAAGGAAGGAAGGAAGGAAGGAAGGAAGGAAGGAAGGAAGGGAAAUAAACUUGCAUGCGGUUAAGGCACUGGAUUGUGAGGGCUAUUUGUUACUGCAAAGUAAUACAACCUAUCCUGAUUCAAGAAUGCAGCAGAAUGGAGUGGAGUGGAUUAGAAAGCAUUCAUCACACAUAGUGAGGCUCAGCCCAGGGCAGCGCACAGUGCAUCGACCACCCUUUCCUGGUUCCACAGACGCUGGGCAUAGAGCCAGUCCUCUAAGCUUUGGCCUCCACCAAGAGUUCAGGCUUUUCCAGCACAAAAGCCAGAGACUAGCAGGUUAGUUUUGGUUGCCACCCUGCAGAAUUAAGCACAGUACUAAAGUGGGAGUUCGCUUGCUUUCUCUCUCUCUCUCUCUCCUCCCCUCCUUAAUUUUGAGAAGUAAGGUGGAGGAGGGAAGAGAAAUAAAGAGAGAACCAAUGGCUAAUAGCUUAUAAAUAUUAUCCUGCCACAUGUGCAGAAUGCUAUGGAAAGGUUCAGAAGGAAUGAGCACAUCCCAUAGAAAAAUCA
ensembl:lncRNA novel transcript